rnacentral:rRNA from 1 species
CCUACGGGGGGCAGCAGUGAGGAAUAUUGGUCAAUGGGCGUAAGCCUGAACCAGCCAAGCCGCGUGAGGGAUGAAGGUUCUAUGGAUCGUAAACCUCUUUUAUAAGGGAAUAAUGUGUGGGACGUGUCCUGUUUUGUAUGUACCUUAUGAUUAAGGAUCGGCUAACUCCGUGCCAGCAGCCGCGGUAAUACGGAGGCUCCGAGCGUUAUCGGGAUUUAUUGGGUUUAAAGGGUGCGUAGGCGGCCUUUUAAGUCAGCGGUGAAAGUCUGUGGCUCAACCAUAGAAUUGCCGUUGAAACUGGGAGGCUUGAGUAUGUUUGAGGCAGGCGGAAUGCGUGGUGUAGCGGUGAAAUGCUUAGAUAUCACGAAGAACCCCGAUUGCGAAGGCGGCCUGCCAAGCCAUGACUGACGCUGAUGCACGAAAGCGUGGGGAUCAAACAGGAUUAGAUACCCGAGUAGUC